AACGAACGCUGGCGGCAUGCCUAACACAUGCAAGUCGAACGAGACCUUCGGGUCUAGUGGCGCACGGGUGCGUAACGCGUGGGAAUCUGCCCUUAGGUACGGGAUAACACAGGGAAACUUGUGCUAAUACCGUAUGAUGACGAAAGUCCAAAGAUUUAUCGCCUAAGGAUGAGCCCGCGUAGGAUUAGCUUGUUGGUGAGGUAAAGGCUCACCAAGGCGACGAUCCUUAGCUGGUCUGAGAGGAUGAUCAGCCACACUGGGACUGAGACACGGCCCAGACUCCUACGGGAGGCAGCAGUGGGGAAUAUUGGACAAUGGGCGAAAGCCUGAUCCAGCAAUGCCGCGUGAGUGAUGAAGGCCCUAGGGUUGUAAAGCUCUUUUACCCGGGAAGAUAAUGACUGUACCGGGAGAAUAAGCCCCGGCUAACUCCGUGCCAGCAGCCGCGGUAAUACGGAGGGGGCUAGCGUUGUUCGGAAUUACUGGGCGUAAAGCGCACGUAGGCGGCUUUGUAAGUUAGAGGUGAAAGCCCGGGGCUCAACCCCGGAAUUGCCUUUAAGACUGCAUCGCUUGAACGUCGGAGAGGUGAGUGGAAUUCCGAGUGUAGAGGUGAAAUUCGUAGAUAUUCGGAAGAACACCAGUGGCGAAGGCGGCUCACUGGACGACUGUUGACGCUGAGGUGCGAAAGCGUGGGGAGCAAGCAGGAUUAGAUACCCUGGUAGUCCACGCCGUAAACGAUGAUAACUAGCUGUCUGGGCUCUUGGAGCUUAGUGGCGCAGCUAACGCAUUAAGUUAUCCGCCUGGGGAGUACGGCCGCAAGGUUAAA
rnacentral:rRNA from 1 species